GGAACUGCAUCUGAUACUGGCAAGCUUGAGUCUCGUAGAGGGGGGUAGAAUUACAGGUGUAGCGGUGAAAUGCGUAGAGAUCUGGAGGAAUACCGGUGGCGAAGGCGGCUUCCUGGACGAAGACUGACGCUCAGGUGCGAAAGCGUGGGGAGCAAACAGGAUUAGAUACCAUGGUAGUUCACGCCGUAAACGAUGUCGACUUGGAGGUUGUGCCCGUGAGGCGUGGCUUCCGGAGCUAACGCGUUAAGUCGACCGCCUGGGGAGUACGGCCGCAAGGUUAAAACUCAAAUGAAUUGACGGGGGCCCGCACAAGCGGUGGAGCAUGUGGUUUAAUUCGAUGCAACGCGAAGAACCUUACCUGGUCUUGACAUCCACAGAACUUUCCAGAGAUGGAUUGGUGCCUUCGGGAACUGUGAGACAGGUGCUGCAUGGCUGUCGUCAGCUCGUGUUGUGAAAUGUUGGGUUAAGUCCCGCAACGAGCGCAACCCUUAUCCUUUGUUGCCAGCGGUCCGGCCGGGAACUCAAAGGAGACUGCCAGUGAUAAACUGGAGGAAGGUGGGGAUGAUGUCAAGUCAUCAUGGCCCUUAUGACCAGGGCUACACACGUGCUACAAUGGCGCAUACAAAGAGAAGUGACCUCGCGAGAGCAAGCGGACCUCAUAAAGUGCGUCGUAGUCCGGAUUGGAGUCUGCAACUCGACUCCAUGAAGUCGGAAUCGCUAGUAAUCGUGGAUCAGAAUGCCACGGUGAAUACGUUCCCGGGCCUUGUACACACCGCCCGUCACACCAUGGGAGUGGGUUGCAAAAGAAGUAGGUAGCUUAACCUUCGGGAGGGCGCUUACCACUUUGUGAUUCAUGACUG
rnacentral:rRNA from 1 species